AAAAAUAGGUCUUUUUUUGUUCAAAGUUUUACAAAAUUGUGUACAAGAUGUGCGAUCACUACAACAGAAUUAGGUUAUAGGGACACAUGUUUGGAACACUUUUGUAUAAGAGUCAUAUUUAUGCCAAAACUUAAAAAAAAACCUACUAAUGCCUAAAUAUAAAGUCUAAUCCAAUCAAAAAUAAAAGGGUACUCUACUCAACCCACCCCACCCAGCCCAUUCGGCCUGAUUACACACAGAAAAGUAAAAUAAAAGAAAAAGGAAAGAAAAAUCGAUUACCAUUCCCCUUCUCCUCUCACUCAAUCGACUGAAAUUCUAGACGAAGAUCCCUUCCUCUCGUCCUCCUCCGCCACCGCAGCCAACGAGGUAGAGUUCCGGUGGUUGCUAGAUGCUUAAAUAAAUAUUGGUAAAUUAGCAGCACUCUUUUAUAUUAUAGCGACACUCUUUAAUUGUCACUAUAUACCUAGCGACCCCACAUAUACCAACACUUUUUAAAAGUGUCGGUAAUUUAGCCAGCACCACUUAUUUUGACUCAUACCGACAUUUAAAAGUGUCGCUAUAGACCGUUUUUAUUGUAGUGGAUUAAAACCACUGUUUAAUCAAUAACUUAGCUUGCCGAGUGAUUCCUAUUAAAUUAUUUGGUAAAGUUUAGAAUGUUCAAUUGUGAAAAUUAAAAGUUUUGAGUUUUUAUUUGAAGAAGGUGUUAAAGUUGGGGGGUUCUUUGUAAACUU
rnacentral:lncRNA from 1 species